GUAAUACGAAGGGGGCCAGCGUUGUUCGGAUUUACUGGGCGUAAAGCGCAUGUAGGCGGAUAUUUAAGUCAGAGGUGAAAUCCCAGGGCUCAACCCUGGAACUGCCUUUGAUACUGGGUAUCUUGAGUAUGGAAGAGGUGAGUGGAAUUCCGAGUGUAGAGGUAAAAUUCGUAGAUAUUCGGAGGAACACCAGUGGCGAAGGCGGCUCACUGGUCCAUUACUGACGCUGAGGU
rnacentral:rRNA from 1 species